UACGAAGGGUGCAAGCGUUAAUCGGAAUUACUGGGCGUAAAGCGCGCGUAGGUGGUUCAGUAAGUUGGAAGUGAAAUCCCCGGGCUCAACCUGGGAACUGCUUUCAAAACUGCUGAGCUAGAGUACGGUAGAGGGUGGUGGAAUUUCCUGUGUAGCGGUGAAAUGCGUAGAUAUAGGAAGGAACACCAGUGGCGAAGGCGACCACCUGGACUGAGACUGACACUGAGGUGAGAAAGCGUGGGGAGCAAACAGG
rnacentral:rRNA from 1 species